rnacentral:rRNA from 1 species
UACGUAGGGGGCAAGCGUUGUCCGGAUUUACUGGGUGUAAAGGGCGCGUAGGCGGGUUUGUAAGUUAGAGGUGAAAUCCUGCAGCUUAACUGUAGAACUGCCUCUGAUACUGCAAAUCUUGAGUUCAGAAGAGAGUGGCGGAAUUCCAGGUGUAGUGGUGAAAUACGUAGAUAUCUGGAAGAACACCAGUGGCGAAGGCGGCUACUUGGUCUGCAACUGACGCUGAGGCGCGAAAGCGUGGGGAUCAAACAGGAUUAGAAACCCGAGUAGU